AUGGGCUUCAACGUACCCAUGGAGUUCUUGCCAAUGCCGGUCAAGGGGCAAGGGGGAUCAGGGUGCAGAAAGGGGUCCCACUGUGGGGCCAACAUCACGUCACAGUGUCCGAGCGAGCUCAAGGCACCGGGAGGCUGCAACAGCGCAUGUACAGUGUUCCAGGAGCAGAAUAAUGGUAUGUACUGCUGCUAUGAGAGCCAAUGUGAACCCAACAAAUACUCGGCCUUCUUUGUGCGGAUGUGCCCGGAGGCAAUAAGCUACUCCAGUGAUGCUUCCACAGAUACUUCAUUCAGCUGCCCAUUUGAUACCGACUAUCAGGUCAUCUUCUGCCCACCGGUCAAUCUAACGUCUUCACCUCCAAGUCCUCCUAACUCAGCUGAUCUUAGGCCACUAUCUUCACCUCCAAGUCCUCCUAACUCAGCUGAUCUUAGGCCACUACGCAAAGGACCCUCAAUAGGCACUUUUGUUUCAGUUGCAAUUGCAGGUGCCAUAGUUUUAAUCGUCACAUUCAUCUUUUUCAUCAUACGUCGAAGAAGAACACGACGACACCAUGAGAUGACAGAUGAGGAGGCAGAGUUUGAUCAGCUACAAGGAACACCAAUGAGGUUUACGUUUCAACAGUUAGAAGCAGCAACAGAGCAAUUCAAGGACAAGCUCGGGGAAGGAGGAUUUGGGUCUGUUUUCGAAGGGCAGCUAUGCGAGGAAAGGAUUGCGGUAAAACGUUUGGAUCGAGCUGGUCAGGGAAAGAGAGAAUUCUUGGCGGAGGUUCAAACAAUCGGUAGCAUUCAUCAUAUCAAUCUGGUGAGGCUGUUUGGCUUCUGUGCAGAGAAAUCCCAUAGGCUCUUGGUUUAUGAGUCUAUGCCAAAAGGAUCCUUGGACAGGUGGAUCUAUGGUCGACAUGAAAAUACUGCUCCUCCGUUAGAAUGGAGGGUGCGAUGCAAGAUUAUCGCUGACAUAGCUAAGGGUCUUUCUUAUCUUCAUGAGGAGUGCAUGAAGAGAAUUGCUCAUUUGGAUGUCAAACCACAAAACAUCCUCUUAGAUGACGACUUCAAUGCUAAACUCUCUGAUUUUGGUCUAUGCAAGCUCAUUGAUAGGGAUAUGAGUCAAGUGGUUACAAGAAUGAGAGGCACACCUGGUUAUCUAGCCCCUGAAUGGUUGACAUCACAAAUCACGGAGAAGGCCGAUGUCUAUAGCUUUGGCGUUGUGGUCAUGGAAAUCGUGAGCGGAAGAAAGAACCUCGACACUUCCUUGUCUGAAGAGAACAUCCAUCUUAUUACCCUAUUGGAAGAAAAGGUGAAGAACAAUCAGUUGGAAGAUUUGAUUGACAAGAGCAGCAACGACAUGCAAGCACACGAGCGAGAUGCGAUUCAGAUGAUGAAGCUCGCAAUGUGGUGUUUGCAGAUUGACUGCAAAGGAAGGCCUAAAAUGUCCGAGGUAGUCAAAGUCUUGGAAGGUACCAUGGAUGCAGAGAGCAACAUAGAUCAUAACUUUGUCGCAACAAAUGAACCAAAUUUCGGUAUUGCUGGAAAUGUGAACUCUUCAGCUCCACCUGUAGCCUCAGAUGUAUCAGGUCCAAGGUGA
rnacentral:rRNA from 1 species